GAUGAACGCUGGCGGCGUGCCUAAUACAUGCAAGUCGAGCGAAUGGAUUAAGAGCUUGCUCUUAUGAAGUUAGCGGCGGACGGGUGAGUAACACGUGGGUAACCUGCCCAUAAGACUGGGAUAACUCCGGGAAACCGGGGCUAAUACCGGAUAACAUUUUGAACCGCAUGGUUCGAAAUUGAAAGGCGGCUUCGGCUGUCACUUAUGGAUGGACCCGCGUCGCAUUAGCUAGUUGGUGAGGUAACGGCUCACCAAGGCAACGAUGCGUAGCCGCCCGGAGAGGCUGAGCGGCCAAACUGGGACUGAGACACGGCCGAGAGUCCUACAGAAGGCAGAAGUAGGGAAUCUUCCGCAAUGGACGAAAGUCUGACGGAGCAACGCCGCGUGGGUGAUGAAGGCUUUCGGGUCGUAAAACGCUGUUGUUAGGGAAGAACAAGUGCUAGUUGAAUAAGCUGGCACCUUGACGGUACCUAACCAGAAAGCCACGGCUAACUACGUGCCAGCCGUCGCCGUAA
rnacentral:rRNA from 1 species